rnacentral:lncRNA from 1 species
CCAGGGAGCUCCACAAUGUGGAACUUGUAAAGGUCAUUCAUCAAAUAAAGAGUUUUGUCCCGUUGACCUUGGCCUAGUCCAUGGAGCACUUGCUAAGUACUUACUACGUACCAGUCAGUGUGCUGAGCACUGGAAACACAAGGUUAAAAGGCAUGACAUUUCCUAUAAGGAAAACAGGCAACUCCCUAGACAUUACCUGCACUAAGCUGAGAGCCACGUGAGCCCAGAGGUGAGGCACAUCCAGGGAAUUCACGGAGGGUUUCUGAAGGAGGUCAAAUCUCACCUGAGUCUUGGAGUACAAGGUAGGCAGGUAGAAAAAGGGGGUCGGUAUUCUGGGGAGUCGAAGCAGUGUGAGAAAAGGCACACAGUGUGAGGUGACAUGAAAGGGACACUCCUUCUCUGUUCUGUGGUUUGUCCCCACAUGGAGGGAGGGCAUGGAUUUGGGGGAGGAUAAUGGAAAUAAGAUUAAAGGUGGGGAGGCCAAUAUGGAAGUGACUGCAGGAGUUCCCAUCGUGGCACAGUGGAAACAAAUCCGACUAGGAACCAUGAGGUUGUGAGUUUGAUCCUUAGCCUCACUCAGUGGGUUAAGGAUCUGGUGUUGCCGUGAGCUGUGGUGUAGGUAGCAGACACAGUUCAGAUCAGGUGUUGCUGUUGCUGUGGUGUAGGCCAGCAGCUAUAGCUNAGGUUUGUGGUGGGAUGAAUUAGCAGGAAUAACCUGGGAUGAGUCCCAGUUUCCUGACUUCAGUCACCAAGUGGACUGUAAUGUCAGUUACUGAGAAAAACACAGCAAAACGACCCAACUUGGGGGAAGUCGGGCAAUGGUGCAUUUAGUUUGGGCCACGUGGAUUUUCAUGUCUGAGAUCUCCAGCUGAGAGGGGUAGGAGUCUCGAGUCCAGCAGUGCUGUCAGUACAGGAGAUUUGCAUUUAGAGGCCAUCAGCAUGGGGAGGGGAACAUUAAAAUCAUGACUGUGUUGGGGAGUAUAGGAAAAUGAAAGAGUGAGGCAGAAAGCAACCCAUUGAGGAAUGCAAACAUUUAGGAUGUUGGCAGAAGAGAGUAAUGGGGGAAAUAUGACAAAAAGUAACCAUCAAAAAUGUAGAAGAAGACUCAUGAGCGAUGUCAAAGAAGUAGGAAUUUCAGGAGGAUUUGAAGGAGAAAUAGUGUCCAACAGUAGAAAGGGCCAUAGACUUAGACAGGGAGUGUCCAUUGGCUUUGGCAAUUUGGAGGUGAUGUUUUUGAAAGAAGUUAGAGUUGUGUAGUCUGUUCAUAAGCCAGGUGGCAGUGGGUUGAGGAGUGAGGAAGUGAAGACCCCAAUUAUCAAGCUAUUUUCAUGAUCCUUUGCUGAGAGGUCAAGGGGAGGUCAAGAGAGACUUGCUCCUCCAAAGGUGAAUCUUGAUGUAUUUAUAGGCUAAGGGCAAUGGGCUAAUAGAAAGCAAGAGGGUGAAUUUAUUGAAGAAAGGGGAGUAUGGAUGGAACAACAUCCCCAAGGAUAAAGGAGAUCAUGAAUAAAAGGCUGAGAUGGGGGUAGGUAGGAGGGAGAGGGGGGAGAGAGAGAGAGGGAGUGUGUGUGUGUGUGUGUGUGUAGGAGGGAGAAGGAGAGAAGGAGUGGGGGGGGAUGGGCUUAUCUUGAACAGAAGAGAUGCCUUUUACCUUGAGACCCUGGAAAAAAAAAGUGAAGGGUGUUUAUAAAUGAGAAGCCUUGUUUAAGUAUUGAUGUUUUUGAUGGAGGCUGGAGGGGAGGGAGGAAGCAGAAGUUCAUGCCGGAAACCUCGUUUUCUUGAUAAAAUAGGAGGCAAGGUUAGGUGCUGAGAAAAUCUUGGGGCUUGAGAAUGGAAUAAAGUUUUGGCAUGAGUGCCAGGCAGCGUGGGAGAAGAGAGGCUAACUACGGAAGUGGCGACCUACCCUGGAGUUGGCCUGGUUAGAGGGGAGAGAGAGUGACCAGAAGAUCCUGCAGACUGGGUGAAAACUGAAAGAACAAGGACCAUGGUCCAUGGGAUGUUAGAGGUGGCGAUGAGGGCAUGAGAGACAAGCGGUCAUCAGCAGAGAGUGGCAUUUUUCAGUUACUUGGUUCUAAAACAAUAACUAAUAUUUGAACAGCUCUCUACCUUUUGGGAAAAGUUUUUGCAGACCUGUUUCAUUUGUUUUCAUAGCAGCAUUUUGAGACAUGUGUUAUUAUUUUUCUACUCUCCAGAGAUGAAGCGAGACGCACAGAAAUAGUGACUUACUCAAGGUCAGACAAGUAGAAAAGGCUGGACUUCAAACUAGAUAUUUGGUCUCCAGGCUUCACACAGAUAGGCUUUGAUAUUAAAAGACAUUGAGGAUCCAAGUCAGGAAUAAAAUACAUGACUUGAGUUGAUUUUUCUAGGAGGAAGAAUGGAUCUUUUCUUCUCUACGUGUGACCCCAAGCACAGGGCAGCCAGAGGGCUCACUGACAUGAUGUCUUAAUCGAGGUAAGCCUUGGCUUUCCUGGGCUAAUGAACCCACACAGCUGCAGAGGUGCACGCAUGCCCUGAGCUAGUUUAAGCUACACACCCAUUCUGCUGUACCUGCUGCUCCUCUGCCUAAAAUAUCCUCCCUGUGGUUGUCUCCUGGAUAAGUCCUACGUAGUUCAAAGCCCCCCUCUAAUACCUGUCUUCUUGCGGGCUGAUCCAAUUGCCCUAUUUUGUACUCUUAAGGGUAUCCUGGCUCUUCCGUUAUCCAUCUCUUUGAAAUUAUUGCCUGUGCACCUCCCUAGACAAAGAGCACCUUGAAGCCAAGAACUGGGUCUUAGGUCUCUUUGAAUCUCCAUACAAAAUGCCCCACACAACACUUGAUGCAAAUAGAAGUCAGUCACCUGCAAAUAUGGAAAAUACAACCCCUUGUCCCAACUCUCAGUGGAAACCAGCUAAGCGCAUGAGUGAGUCCCAUUGCACAGUCAGUCUGAAUGGAGCCUCCAGGGUUUUUUUUUUGCUGAGAUGACAAACGGUGGCAGAUGUAUUAAGGGACAGAUCAUUAGCAAGAGCUUCCCUCCUUUCCUGAGGCUUGUCUUCCUUUUUACCCCUGAAGGCCUAGCAUUUUAACAUAUCCAGACAUUAACUGCUUUCCUCCACCUCUGCUACCACUACAGCUGGUCUACGCCAACAUCAUCUCUUGCUUGGAUUAUUGCAACAGCAUCCUAGGUGGUCUCCCUGCUUUACCUUUCCCAGGGUGCAGUCCCAUCUCCCUGGAUCUGAAAGCUAAAAUCUUUUCAGGUAUGUUCAGUGCCCUGCAGGAUCUGGCCCCUGUGAGCUCUGUGACUCCACCUCCUACCCAGCUACUUG